rnacentral:tRNA from 1 species
GCAUUGGAGGUUCAGUGGAAGAAUUCUUGAUUUCCGUGUGGUAGACAUGGGAUCAAUUCCCAGCCAAUGCA